UGGGGUACCUUGGCUGCUGAUUUAUAUGCUGACGUGCUGUCCAGCUCUCCCUUCACACCUCAGGCGCUCACUUUCCCCGUUGCUGGAAAUGGUUCUCAGUUCUCUGCAAAUUACCCUCAGCCAAAGAGAACUUCUUGCCCAUGGUCGAGCCCUGUCCCCAGGAUGGCCUGAGUAUAAGGAGUAGUCUGAUCUGAGGUUGUCAACGUCUAACCCUCUUGUCUUUAGGCUGAAUAACCCUCAGGGCCUCCCUGGUUCCAGAGCCCUCUACAGGAUCCCUGAGGUUUUUCUUGGGAACAAAUCACAAUUAAAAUGCUUUUGGACCCUGUCAAGCCCUCCCCCAUCACCUACAGGUGGUCUGUGAGCUCUUCCCAGCAAAGCUUCUGACACUCAAGUCUGUCUCAGAGCUGACAUCCUGGGGGUCUCAAUCUAAGACUUUUUAAACUAGCACCUCUGGAUGAGAUGGAUGUCAUUCAGGGAACAAAAAGAUAAGUGUGGUCUAUAUGUGGGGGACUGCUCCCGAGGCA
rnacentral:lncRNA from 1 species